UACGGAGGAUGCAAGCGUUAUCCGGAAUGAUUGGGCGUAAAGCGUCCGCAGGUGGCUAUGUAAGUCUGCUGUUAAAGAGUCUAGCUCAACUAGAUACAAGCAGUGGAAACUACAAGGCUAGAGUACGUUCGGGGCAGAGGGAAUUCCUGGUGUAGCGGUGAAAUGCGUAGAGAUCAGGAAGAACACCGGUGGCGAAGGCGCUCUGCUAGGCCGUAACUGACACUGAGGCGCGAAGGCGUGGGGAGCGAACGGG
rnacentral:rRNA from 1 species